rnacentral:rRNA from 1 species
AUUGAACGCUGGCGGCAUGCCUUACACAUGCAAGUCGAACGGUAACAGGCCGCAAGGUGCUGACGAGUGGCGAACGGGUGAGUAAUACAUCGGAACGUGCCCGAUCGUGGGGGAUAACGCAGCGAAAGCUGUGCUAAUACCGCGUACGAUCUACGGAUGAAAGCGGGGGAUCGCAAGACCUCGCGCGGACGGAGCGGCCGAUGGCAGAUUAGGUAGUUGGUGGGGUAAAGGCCUACCAAGCCGACGAUCUGUAGCUGGUCUGAGAGGACGACCAGCCACACUGGGACUGAGACACGGCCCAGACUCCUACGGGAGGCAGCAGUGGGGAAUUUUGGACAAUGGGCGCAAGCCUGAUCCAGCCAUGCCGCGUGCAGGAUGAAGGCCUUCGGGUUGUAAACUGCUUUUGUACGGAACGAAAAGGUUUCUUUUAAUACAGGGAACUGAUGACGGUACCGUAAGAAUAAGCACCGGCUAACUACGUGCCAGCCGCCGCGGUAAGAC